UAUGGCUGGGCAGAGAGAGGUAUAUCAGGCAGGAGGAGACAAGAGCUCGUUGUAGUCUGAGGUUUGGUGGAGACCAUUGCAGUCCACAGUCACGCUGAGGACAGAACUGCCCCUUUGUUUGUCUGAACCUUGGGUAGAGUCAACUGAAGAAUGGCAUCACCCUGGAUGAAGAAACCAAACUGAAGACCAAAGAAGUCACGUCACUUGCUCUGGUCACACAGGCAGUGGAAGAAGCAGGCCCUGAGAUGAGUGAGGCCUUCUUCUACAUGGAACCACCAUAAGCCAUGCCUUCAUGAAGACCUGGCACCCUCCCUCCACGCUCCAGGAGAAGCCACGCUAGACCUGGCCUGCCAGUUCAUCUGACUUCUGCAGGUGGCUCACUGGAUUGGAAUAUGGUUGUGGCCUUGCAGUGGAUUAAACAAGGAACAAAUCUUGGACAUCCCUCCAUUGAGAAAGGAGGGGGGGUUCUGUUCACUCUUUGUAUCUGACAGGCUCAUUUGAUCCCUUGAAGUGUAUGUCACACAGAGGGAAAACACCUUGCGGGUUUGAGCUUGGGAUUUUGAAUAACAUCUUCUACAGAUUUGCCGCUAGAACCAGCCUUUAGGAAUGAGAAGGCAGGCCACACAACAGGCAUUGCCUGUUAGGUAUCUAAUAGCCAACUCGAAGAGAAGUUAGUAGAUUGAAUCCUGGGUAGGCAUCUGUGUUCAGUUACUUGAAGGAUUCUAAAUUAAAGAUUCCCAGUCAUUUUCCUCCCAAAUCCCUGAUCCCCAAAUUAUGAGCAAAAUAAAGAGUUUAUUUGAAGUUU